rnacentral:rRNA from 1 species
AACGUAGGAGACAAACGUUAUCCGGAGUUACUGGGCGUAAAGGGCGUGUAGGUGGUUUUGUAAGUCUGGCGUGAAAUUUUUCGGCUUAACCGGGAAAGGUCGUCGGAUACUGCAGGACUAGAGGACGGUAGAGGCGUGUGGAAUUCCGGGUGUAGUGGUGAAAUGCAUAGAGAUCCGGAGGAACACCAGUGGCGAAGGCGACACGCUGGGCCGUACCUGACACUGAUGCGCGACAGCAUGGGGAGCAAACAGG